CUUCCACCAGACUAGAACCAC
rnacentral:sRNA from 1 species